rnacentral:misc_RNA from 1 species
GAUGAAGAACGCAGCGAAAUGCGAUAAGUAAUGUGAAUUGCAGAAUUCAGUGAAUCAUCGAAUCUUUGAACGCACAUUGCGCCCGCCAGUAUUCUGGCGGGCAUGCCUGUUCGAGCGUCAUUACAACCCUCAGGCCCCCGGGCCUGGCGUUGGGGAUCGGCGGAGCCCCCCGUGGGCACACGCCGUACCCCAAAUACAGUGGCGGUCCCGCCGCAGCUUCCAUCGCGUAGUAGCUAACACCUCGCGACUGGAGAGCGGCGCGGCCACGCCGUAAAACACCCAACUCUUCUGAAGUUGACCUCGAAUCAGGUAGGAAUACCCGCUGAACUUAAGCAUAUCAAUAAGCGGAGGA